UGGUGGAGUGAUUUGUCUGGUUAAUUCCGUUAACGAACGAGACCUCGACCUGCUAAAUAGUUUGGUGAAUUCUUCGGGAUUCAUUUACGACUUCUUAGAGGGACUAUCGGUGAUUUAGCCGAUGGAAGUUCGAGGCAAUAACA
rnacentral:rRNA from 1 species